rnacentral:rRNA from 1 species
GAUGAACGCUAGCGGCAGGCCUAAUACAUGCAAGUCGAACGAUAUUGAGGAGCUUGCUCUUCAUGAAAGUGGCGCACGGGUGCGUAACGCGUAUGCAACCUACCUUAAUCUGGGGGGAUAGCCCGAAGAAAUUCGGAUUAACACCGCAUAAAAACACAGACCAGCAUUGGUCAAUGUUCAAAUAUUUAUAGGAUUAAGAUGGGCAUGCGUGUCAUUAGCUAGUUGGCGAGGUAACGGCUCACCAAGGCGACGAUGACUAGGGGAUCUGAGAGGAUGACCCCCCACACUGGUACUGAGACACGGACCAGACUCCUACGGGAGGCAG